rnacentral:rRNA from 1 species
AGAGUUUGAUUAUGGCUCAGGAUGAACGCUAGCUACAGGCUUAACACAUGCAAGUCGAGGGGCAGCAUUAGAUUAGCUUGCUAAUUAGAUGGCGACCGGCGCACGGGUGAGUAACGCGUAUCCAACCUUCCCCCUAGCUCAGGGAUAGCCCGGUGAAAAACCGGAUUAAGACCUGAUAGUUUCACUAGAUGGCAUCUGACGGUGAAUAAAGGUUUCGGCAUGGGAUGGGGAUGCGUCUGAUUAGCUUGUUGGCGGGGUAACGGCCCACCAAGGCGACGAUCAGUAGGGGUUCUGAGAGGAAGGUCCCCCACAUUGGAACUGAGACACGGUCCAAACUCCUACGGGAGGCAGCAGUGAGGAAUAUUGGUCAAUGGGCGGAAGCCUGAACCAGCCAAGUAGCGUGCAGGAUGACGGCCCUAUGGGUUGUAAACUGCUUUUGUGCGGGAAUAAAGUCAGGGACGCGUCCCUGUUUGCAUGUACCGCAAGAAUAAGGACCGGCUAAUUCCGUGCCAGCCGCGGC